GGGAAAGUGGAAAGCUACAACUCAGUCGAGGGAAUUCCUGAAGUCUAUCAAGCGAUAUUACAGCAAUGCAUAUACAGAUGGAGAAAAGCAAGAUGCAAUUAACUUAUUUUUGGGAUAUUUCCAACCUCAGGAAGGGAAACCUGCACUUUGGGAGCUAGAUUCUGACUAUUAUCUUCAUGUAUCCGGCAUAGGAGACGAUCUCAUCCCAGAUUAUGGUUUGUCAUUUGUUGCCAUAGCUGUUGGACAAAGAACCACACUAGCCCCUGUUCCAGCUUGCAGGGAGGAUUUCUUGCGCAUGAAGUUGACAUCAUUUGACAAGUUGCUUGAAAGAACAUGCUGUCAUAUUAAGAAUGUACGGCUCUGUAGUGAAACUGACCAAAAAUCAGGGAAUUCCGGAGUGGCACCUGAUGCUGCUGAAAUACAACUUAGGAGCCCAAAUUGGCUUUUUGGACAGAGGAAGUAUGAUGAUAGUAAUUCUGCAUCCAAGUUGUCUUCACAUGCAGUUCCUAACGGGGUUUCAAAUGGUGAGAAUGAAGCAGAUGGUCUUGGUGACCUUACCUGGAUUUCUGGUGUUCCUGAUUUGAAUCAAGAAGAUAUCUUUGAAAGAUACCUUACAAUGACGGCAACAAAUGAAGCUAAUGGCUGGUAUGGUGGUACAUUGCUUGGUGAUCAAGAUGAAAGCAGUGAAAUCUACCGACAUUAUGCAGAACUUAUCCAGGGCCCUGCAAUGGAACCUUUUGAACAUGAUUCUGAGAAUGAGAAGUAUUACACAGAGCUUCUCCUGAAAGGCUCAGCUGAAGCCAUGGACGAUGUAGCUAUUGAAGCAGAGAUGGAAUCUGCUUUCAAGGCGUAUGAUCAAAUUGGUGCAGAUCUUGGGAUUUUCCCCAAGUCGUGUAAGGCAUUGGCUACUGAUCCCAGCCAACUAACGAGAUGGCUAGUUGGUGAAGAUAAGCUGCCCAACGUAUGAAAAAAAUUACACAGAUAUCCUGGCAUGUAUGCAUUUUGCCAUGUUCAUAUAUUUUGUUGUAAUAUAUGAUGAGCUCUUUUUGAACAUUUUAUCUCAACAGAUAAAAGUGGAUGAUUGUUUGUGAGCAGCAGGUUUUACUGCUGAAAAAAUGCUGCUCCUGUACAGUUGUAUUUUACCUGUAGACAUGUGAUCAUCAGUACUUGAAUCUGCGUUUUACAUUUU
rnacentral:misc_RNA from 1 species